AUUGAACGCUGGCGGCAGGCCUAACACAUGUAAGUCGCGCGGAGCGGCGGACGGGUGAGUAAUGCCUAGGAAGCUGCCUGGUAGAGGGGGAUAACGUCCGGAAACGGGAGCUAAUAUCGCAUACUUACAGAUGAGCCUAGGUCGGAUUAGCUAGUUGGUGGGGUAAAGGCAGAACAAGGCGACGAUCCGUAACUGGUCUGAGAGGAUGAUCAGUCACACUGGAAAUGAGACACGGUCCAGACUCAUACGGGAGGCAGCAGUGGGGAAUAUUGGGCAAUGGGAGAAAGCCUGAUCAAGCCAUGCCGCGUGUGUGAAGAAGGUCUUCGGAUUGUAAAGCACUUUAAGUUGGGAGGCGUUACCAACAGAAUAAGCACCGGCUAACUUCGUGCCAGCAGCCGCGGUAAUAC
rnacentral:rRNA from 1 species